GCUCAGGAUGAACGCUAGCUACAGGCUUAACACAUGCAAGUCGAGGGGCAGCAUGGUCUUAGCUUGCUAAGGCCGAUGGCGACCGGCGCACGGGUGAGUAACGCGUAUCCAACCUGCCUUACACUCUUGGACAGCCUUCUGAAAGGGAGAUUAAUACAAGAUGUUAUCAUGGGUAAGCAUUUUCGCAUGAUUAAAGGUUUACCGGUGUAAGAUGGGGAUGCGUUCCAUUAGAUAGUAGGCGGGGUAACGGCCCACCUAGUCUUCGAUGGAUAGGGGUUCUGAGAGGAAGGUCCCCCACAUUGGAACUGAGACACGGUCCAAACUCCUACGGGAGGCAGCAGUGAGGAAUAUUGGUCAAUGGACGAGAGUCUGAACCAGCCAAGUAGCGUGAAGGAUGAAGGUUCUAUGGAUUGUAAACUUCUUUUAUACGGGAAUAAACGAAUCCACGUGUGGAUUUUUGCAUGUACCGUAUGAAUAAGGAUCGGCUAACUCCGUGCCAGCAGCCGCGGUAAUACGGAGGAUCCGAGCGUUAUCCGGAUUUAUUGGGUUUAAAGGGAGCGUAGAUGGGUUGUUAAGUCAGUUGUGAAAGUUUGCGGCUCAACCGUAAAAUUGCAAUUGAUACUGGCAGUCUUGAGUACAGUUGAGGUAGGCGGAAUUCGUGGUGUAGCGGUGAAAUGCUUAGAUAUCACGAAGAACUCCGAUUGCGAAGGCAGCUUACUAACCUGUAACUGACAUUGAUGCUCGAAAGUGUGGGUAUCAAACAGGAUUAGAUACCCUGGUAGUCCACACGGUAAACGAUGAAUACUCGCUGUAGGCGAUAUACAGUCUGCGGCCAAGCGAAAGCAUUAAGUAUUCCACCUGGGGAGUACGCCGGCAACGGUGAAACUCAAAGGAAUUGACGGGGGCCCGCACAAGCGGAGGAACAUGUGGUUUAAUUCGAUGAUACGCGAGGAACCUUACCCGGGCUUAAAUUGCAACCGAAUAUGGCGGAAACGCUAUAGCUAGCAAUAGCGGUUGUGAAGGUGCUGCAUGGUUGUCGUCAGCUCGUGCCGUGAGGUGUCGGCUUAAGUGCCAUAACGAGCGCAACCCUUGCCGAUAGUUACUAACAGGUCAUGCUGAGGACUCUGUCGGGACUGCCAUCGUAAGAUGUGAGGAAGGUGGGGAUGACGUCAAAUCAGCACGGCCCUUACGUCCGGGGCUACACACGUGUUACAAUGGGGGGUACAGAGGGCUGCUACCACGCAAGUGGAUGCCAAUCCCAAAAACCUCUCUCAGUUCGGAUUGAAGUCUGCAACCCGACUUCAUGAAGCUGGAUUCGCUAGUAAUCGCGCAUCAGCCACGGCGCGGUGAAUACGUUCCCGGGCCUUGUACACACCGCCCGUCAAGCCAUGGGAGCCGGGGGUACCUGAAGUGCGUAACCGCAAGGAGCGCCCUAGGGUAAAACUGGU
rnacentral:rRNA from 1 species